AGUGUGAUUGCUGGAUUAUAUGGUAAGAGAAUGUUUAGUUAUGAAAAAAAUCUCCAAACUGUUUUCCAAAGUGGCUGUACCAUUUUACAUUCCCACAAGCAAU
rnacentral:pre_miRNA from 1 species